CCUACGGGCGGCAGCAGUAGGGAAUUUUCGGCAAUGGGGGGAACCCUGACCGAGCAACGCCGCGUGAACGAAGAAGUUCUUCGUAAUGUAAAGUUCUUUUAACAGGGAAGAAAGAUAAAUUUGACGGUACCUGAUGAAUAAGCUCCGGCAAACUACGUGCCACCAGCCGCGGAAAUACGUAGGGAGCGAGCGUUAUCGGGAAUUAUUGGGCGAAAGGGGUGCGUAGAUGGCAUAGUAAGGCUGUGGGAAAAAUGCUGGCCUAAACCCAGUAGGGCAAAAGAUACUGCAAAGCUAGAGUAUGACAGAGGCAAGUGGAACUACAGGUGUAGCGGUGAAAUGCGUAGAUAU
rnacentral:rRNA from 1 species